rnacentral:rRNA from 1 species
UAAGACAGAGGGUGCAAACGUUGUUCGGAAUUACUGGGCGUAAAGCGAGUGUAGGCGGUUUGGAAAGUCGGAUGUGAAAGCCCCAGGCUCAACCUGGGAAGUGCAUUCGAUACUCUCAAGCUAGAGUACUGGAGAGGUUGGUGGAAUUCUCGGUGUAGAGGUGAAAUUCGUAGAUAUCGAGAGGAACACCGGUGGCGAAGGCGGCCAACUGGACAGAUACUGACGCUGAGACUCGAAAGCGUGGGGAGCAAACAGGAUUAGAUACCCUGGUAGUCCACGCCGUAAACGAUGGGUGCUAGGUGUCGCGGGCUUUGACUCCUGCGGUGCCGUAGCUAACGCAUUAAGCACCCCGCCUGGGAAGUACGGCCGCAAGGCUAAAACUCAAAUGAAUUGACGG